GCUUUUUGACUAGCACAUGAAGAGGAUGAGGAAGAAGUGAGCAGGGAAUGCUAAUGAUAUGUCUGAACACAGAUCUAGAAACAAAGCAAAAGCCUUAAUGCACAAGUCUAGGAGAUAGGCGGCUUUUCCCAGGAACCCACUGGUUUUUGUUGCCUUUCUUUUUUUCCUCAGGAUUCAAGCUCAUUCUCCAUCCACUCUUGCCAGCAAGACUACAGCUGCACAAACAGGAGAGGAAGAAAAGGCCUAUUCUUGUUCGCUGUUUUCAGGAGGAGGGGACCAAUGUUCAUGGCCUGUCUUUCUGCAUAAACUCAUUCUACAAAGAUCCUGAAGCUGUCCUCUGUCUUCAGCUCUCUGUGCUGAAUAGCAGGUGCUUGUUUCUACCACACACUUUUUUCUCAGCCUUUGAUAGAACUUGAAAGGAGAUACUGGAUGUGCUUUUCUAGUUCAGCUCUCUAGCAUCUACUCAAGAGCACCAUGUUCUGUACUUGUUCCACUCUCUCCACAGUGUAUAAUAUAGGCUGAAGAAUCUAAACCAUGUUUUGAUUCUGACAUUUGCUGCUUUUUAUAAGCAAGAAGUUGAACUCCCCGUGAGCCCUUCCUCUGAUACAGUGGAUGAAAUCCAGGUAAUUUAACAUGCAACUAAGAUACUACAAAGUAUUGAAAAGCAUUUUUCAGUUGAGAGGUGUGAAUUGUUCUUGGGAGUCACUAGGUUCUGCAUAGUUCUUGCUACAGCCAUAUCCAGGUAUUGCCAUUGUCACCUCUGGGUUCAGAGGCAGUAGCAGUUGUGAUCCACUGGUGUCACAGCACUGUGCCAUGCACAGCCCAGCUGUACCGAAGAGGGAAGUUUCCUUUUUUUAUCUCUACAGCAAGUAAAGUGGGAUACUGCUGCUUUCACAGCUUGUGGAGGUUUUGAAAUUCAGAUAGGCUGGCUUGUGACCUGGCUUGUGACCCACCUCCUUUUGGUUUCCUGCUUCCUCUCCUAGUCUGUUUUAUUAAAUUUGGAUCCUUUGACUCCUUUGUCUGCUCUGAACUCUGCUUCCUACUAUCUUUUUUUCUGACUGUCCAGGAUGCCUUUAAGUCUUCAAGCAAAAAUUCUUUUAGCCUGAACUUCCCUGUCCAACCUGAGCCAUAACCCUGGCUGUGACUUGUUAAAAAGCUCCCACGUAGCUCCUUCUUUCUGUAGAUCAGAGAAGUGUAUCUCGUAACCCCUUUCUUGAGGUUUGUAAGUCAGCUGGAGCCCAGUCUAACCAAGUCUUGGCACUGCUUCUUCGGACAAACACCUUUUCAAUAGGCUUUUGUAUGCGACAGGCUCCCCCCUCCUCUUUGGCUGAAAGCAAACCAAGUGCCAGUGGUGCUGCUGAGUCUUGUUGCAGUCUUUGUGCCAAUCAUUUCCAUUGUUUCUUUGUGUGGCUUUCACAUUUUCCAUGGCCCCAGCUAUGUCUACAAUGCAGCCCACAGACCAUGGGUCUAUACGACACAGUAUCUUGUUCUCGCAAAUGUGAGAUCAGCCACAGCUUUCAAAACAAGUGAUGCCAUAAAUGAACUAAGCUGCAUUUAUUCAUGUAGGUUCCUUAAAACCUCUCCCUGUUGUUAAUCUUCUGUACCUGCUUUUGUGAUUGAGUGCUGUUUGGGCUUCUGUUUCUGCCGGUCUUGUGCCACUGGCCAGAUUGCGUAACUUUGGAAAAUACUUGGAACUUGAGACUAGGUAGAUGUUUAAGCAGAAAUUGAGGAUUCUCAGCCUGGCUUACAACUUGAAGUUCUGUAAGCGUGGUGUGUGAGCUAAAACCAUUUCUUGAUUAGCUGUGUUAUUUGGUGGACUCUUGAAACUGCACAGUUUACCUCCUAAACCAGAGUUCUUCCCCUGGCUCUCCAUGAUGCUUUUGAGAGCAGGGCAAGGAAUAGUACAAGGGGAUGCUCCCCAGGCCUAGAGCCUGUCACACUGCAUUGCCUUGCUAUCCCUGACUCCAUGAGGGGGGUGAAAGCACAGGGCUGUGAGGAAUAGAGUGGAGAGGAGAAUCUCAAGCUCCUCUUCUCACUGAAAUAUCUCUUGCUGCUGCAAGUGUAGCCCACUAGAGCACCCCCAGUGCUGCUUACCUCCUGAUUCCUCUGGAGUUCAAUUUCCCCAUAAAUAGUUCCCUUUGUUUCCUAGUGACUAAAUAAAAAUAGAAGACACUGUCAGCUCCCAGGCGUGGGGAGCACGCUGCAGACCAUGCAUUUCACUGGGUGCUGUCUGGGGUAUUAUUCCAUUUCAUUCAAGAUCCCAUGAUUCGCUGAAAUCCACGUGUCUUGCCCAGCUGCUACAGGGGGACUCAACUGAUAUUUUGUGACACUUAAAAUACCCUCAGCCUUGCUUUCUGUCCAUAAUUUGCUAAAAGGUGUCCCUGACAAGGAAGGACUAAGAGGGAUCAUCUACCAGGUUGGAACACGCUGCUGCCAGGUUUCCGCGAAAGUGAGGCACUGUACCAGCCUGCUGGCCACUGAGAUGAGCUGGGACGUGACACCAAGCACAAGAAGUGCUGCUGUGGCAUGAUGACCCUCAUGCGGAAGGAUGAGAAUUUUCCAGGCUCUGGAGAAUGGCUACUCCAGAAAACAAAGACAGCAUGGUGCCUGGUGCCUGGACAGAGCUCUGCCUGCAAGGAUGCGAACAGAAUUAAGGCGAGUAUGUUUGCAUUGGGUACUGCCCAUGUGAGGAAUGUUCCCAGUUCUCCUUACCCCUGUAUCCUUGAAUGCAAAACCCAGCUCCUUUCCAAAUAACCAAGUUCAAGGGCCCUGUCAAGCCCAGCCUGUUUUUCUUUCACAUGCUGCCUCCUGCAUGCCAGUAUUGGCAGUUGCUCUUGUCAUUCUUUUCCACAGCAGGCUGUUUACUGCUGAGAUUUGUGCAAUAGCUUGUGAAAUGUUCACAUGCUGGUUAAGCUGCAGCCCACGAGUUGUUAGCAAAGCCAAAUGACUUUAUGAAAGCCAAGCUUUGUAUCUGGGGGGAGUUGUGGCUCAGGUGCAAACUGCUGAGCUAAGAGGCACCCCCUUGCCUUGGAGAGCUGGGGAGAUGUCAUGAAACUUUGAGGGGAGAGCAUGUACUCCAUGCUUGCUCCAUCUCUUGGGCAUGAGCACAUGGCCCUGUGUGUUGCAGGCAGGGAUUUAGUUGGGCAUAGUUUCAGCUGAGCAGCAUUAGCAGUAAACAGUCUGUGUAAGAGCAUGUCAGAACCAGGAGUGUGUAACAACCUGGGAGUAAUUCCCAAAUUCAAAAACGUACCCUCGCAUUCAUGACAGUGGGUCAUGCGUCAGUGAGUGUAGGCUGUUAGGGAGGGAUGGGAUCCAUCUGUCUAGAAGGGGAAAGAGAAUCUUCAGUGAGAUGGGCUUUAAACUGAAGGACUGGGGGGGUAGAUCAUACCAGCCAGUGCAGGGACAGAUGUUCCUUGAGUGCCUCUCAAGAUGAGGAUCAAAGGCCUAACAAGAUUGAGGCUGUUUAUGUUCAUGGUGAAUCCUCUCACACUCGUCUGGGGAACCUGGCUGUGAAAUUGCCUCUCUGAAGUGCCGGGAUACAAACACUGGAGUAUGGGGAAUAAACAAGAUGAGCUGGAAAUCU